CUUGGUCAUUUAGAGGAAGUAAAAGUCGUAACAAGGUUUCCGUAGGUGAACCUGCGGAAGGAUCAUUAACGUAUCUCCGAGUCCGGCGGCCGGCCUUGCCGUGCCCCGGCUCGAAAACCACAAACCACCGUGCUCCUUUACGGCCCCAGGUCGUCGGCGAAAGUCGCUCGACCGGAGCCGCAUUCAAAUAGACUCCAGUUCAAAAGAAUGCAAAGCGGACUCGAUCCGCCCAUAAACUGAAACAACUUUCAACAACGGAUCUCUUGGCUCUCGCAUCGAUGAAGAACGCAGCGAAAUGCGAUAAGUAAUGUGAAUUGCAGAAUUCAGUGAAUCAUCGAAUCUUUGAACGCACCUUGCGCUCCUUGGUAUUCCGAGGAGCAUGCCUGUUUGAGUGUCUUGAAGUCAUCAACCGCUCCCGUUUGAAUGCGGGGGACGGUUGGAUCUGGGGGCUUGCCGCUGCGAAGCGGCUCCCUUCAAAUGCAUCGGUUGGACCUGUGGGUCGAACUCGACUGGGCGUUGUAACAUCCUCGCUCUACCGAGACGUUCCCCUUUGGCGUCCUCCCACGACCGCCUGUGGAGUGGCGGUCAACUUGCUUUGAAAUCUGACCUCAAAUCAGGUAGGACUACCCGCUGAACUUAAGCAUAUCAAUAAGCGGAGGAAAAGAAACUAACAAGGAUUCCCCUAGUAACUGCGAGUGAAGCGGGAAAAGCUCAAAUUUGAAAUCUGGCGGUCCCACCGUCCGAGUUGUAUUCUGGAGAAGCGUCUUCCGUGCCGGACCGUGUACAAGUCCCUUGGAACAGGGCGUCAUAGAGGGUGAGAAUCCCGUCUUUGACACGGACCCCCGGUGCUAUGCGAUGCGCUCUCGAAGAGUCGAGUUGUUUGGGAAUGCAGCUCAAACUGGGUGGUAAAUUCCAUCUAAAGCUAAAUAUUGGCGAGAGACCGAUAGCGAACAAGUACCGUGAGGGAAAGAUGAAAAGCACUUUGGAAAGAGAGUAAAACAGUACGUGAAAUCGUUGAAAGGGAAACGCUUGAAGUCAGUCGCGUCUGCCGGAACUCAGCCUUGCUUCUGCUUGGCGCACUUUCCGGUCCGACGGGCCAGCAUCGGUUUCGGGAGGCGGACACUGGCGAGGGGAAGGUGGUGGCUCAGGCCGCGUUAUAGCCCCACGUCGCGAACGUCUCUGGGGACCGAGGAAUCCGGCGCAAGCCUGGGAUGCUGGCGUAAUGGCUUUAAACGACCCGUCUUGAAACACGGACC
rnacentral:rRNA from 1 species